AGGCAAAAUGGUGCCGUAACUUCGGGAGAAGGCACGCUGAUAUGUAGGUGAAGUCCCUCGCGGAUGGAGCUGAAAUCAGUCGAAGAUACCAGCUGGCUGCAACUGUUUAUUAAAAACACAGCACUGUGCAAACACGAAAGUGGACGUAUACGGUGUGACGCCUGCCCGGUGCCGGAAGGUUAAUUGAUGGGGUUAGCGCAAGCGAAGCUCUUGAUCGAAGCCCCGGUAAACGGCGGCCGUAACUAUAACGGUCCUAAGGUAGCGAAAUUCCUUGUCGGGUAAGUUCCGACCUGCACGAAUGGCGUAAUGAUGGCCAGGCUGUCUCCACCCGAGACUCAGUGAAAUUGAACUCGCUGUGAAGAUGCAGUGUACCCGCGGCAAGACGGAAAGACCCCGUGAACCUUUACUAUAGCUUGACACUGAACAUUGAGCCUUGAUGUGUAGGAUAGGUGGGAGGCUUUGAAGUGUGGACGCCAGUCUGCAUGGAGCCGACCUUGAAAUACCACCCUUUAAUGUUUGAUGUUCUAACGUUGACCCGUAAUCCGGGUUGCGGACAGUGUCUGGUGGGUAGUUUGACUGGGGCGGUCUCCUCCUAAAGAGUAACGGAGGAGCACGAAGGUUGGCUAAUCCUGGUCGGACAUCAGGAGGUUAGUGCAAUGGCAUAAGCCAGCUUGACUGCGAGCGUGACGGCGCGAGCAGGUGCGAAAGCAGGUCAUAGUGAUCCGGUGGUUCUGAAUGGAAGGGCCAUCGCUCAACGGAUAAAAGGUACUCCGGGGAUAACAGGCUGAUACCGCCCAAGAGUUCAUAUCGACGGCGGUGUUUGGCACCUCGAUGUCGGCUCAUCACAUCCUGGGGCUGAAGUAGGUCCCAAGGGUAUGGCUGUUCGCCAUUUAAAGUGGUACGCGAGCUGGGUUUAGAACGUCGUGAGACAGUUCGGUCCCUAUCUGCCGUGGGCGCUGGAGAACUGAGGGGGGCUGCUCCUAGUACGAGAGGACCGGAGUGGACGCAUCACUGGUGUUCGGGUUGUCAUGCCAAUGGCACUGCCCGGUAGCUAAAUGCGGAAGAGAUAAGUGCUGAAAGCAUCUAAGCACGAAACUUGCCCCGAGAUGAGUUCUCCCUGACCCUUUAAGGGUCCUGAAGGAACGUUGAAGACGACGACGUUGAUAGGCCGGGUGUGUAAGCGCAGCGAUGCGUUGAGCUAACCGGUACUAAUGAACCGUGAGGCUUAACCUU
rnacentral:rRNA from 1 species